GAACGAACGCUGGCGGCGUGCCUAACACAUGCAAGUCGAACGAGAAAGCCCUUCGGGGCCUAGUAAGUGGCGCACGGGUGAGUAACACGUGGGUAAUCUACCCUCGGGUCUGGGAUAACACUCCGAAAGGAAUGCUAAUACCGGAUAAGACCACGUCCUCUUCGGAGGAUGAGGUAAAAGGUGGCCUCUCCAUGGAAGCUAUCACCUGAGGAUGAGCCCGCGGCCCAUCAGCUUGUUGGUGAGGUAACGGCCCACCAAGGCUAAGACGGGUAGCUGGUCUGAGAGGAUGGUCAGCCACACUGGAACUGAGACACGGUCCAGACUCCUACGGGAGGCAGCAGUGGGGAAUAUUGCGCAAUGGGCGAAAGCCUGACGCAGCGACGCCGCGUGAGUGAUGAAGGCCUUCGGGUCGUAAAGCUCUGUCGGAUGGGAAAGAAGAAAUUCGGAGAAUAACACCUCCGGAUUUUGACGGUACUCGUCCAGGAAGCACUGGCUAACUCCGUGCCAGCAGCGGC
rnacentral:rRNA from 1 species